rnacentral:rRNA from 1 species
UGGGGAAUAUUGGACAAUGGGCGAAAGCCUGAUCCAGCCAUGCCGCGUGUGUGAAGAAGGUCUUCGGAUUGUAAAGCACUUUAAGUUGGGAGGAAGGGCAGUAAGCGAAUACCUUGCUGUUUUGACGUUACCGACAGAAUAAGCACCGGCUAACUCUGUGCCAGCAGCCGCGGUAAUACAGAGGGUGCAAGCGUUAAUCGGAAUUACUGGGCGUAAAGCGCGCGUAGGUGGUUCGUUAAGUUGAAUGUGAAAGCCCCGGGCUCAACCUGGGAACUACAUCAAAAACUAGCGGGAUAGUGUAGGGCAGCGGGUGGUGGAAUUUCCUGUGUAGCGGUGAGAAGAGUAGAUAUAGGAAGGAACACCAGUGGCGAAGGCAGCCAACUGGGCUCAUACUGACACUGAGGUGCGAAAGCGUGGGGAGCAAACAGG